GCCCCCGACAGGUUCUGACCCGGCCUCCCCCUGUGCCCGUCUCACCCGGUUCUGAGCCCUGAGACCUGUUCCCGCCCCGACAGGUUCUGACCCGGCCUCCCCCCGUGCCCGUCUCACCCGGUUCUGAGCCCUGAGAUCUGUUCCCGCCCCCGACAGGUUCUGACCCGGCCUCCCCCCGUGCCCGGCUCACCCGGUUCUGAGCCCUGAGACCCUCCCCCGCCCCGACAGGUUCUGACCCGGCCUCCCCCCGUGCCCGGCUCACCCGGUUCUGAGCCCUGAGACCCACCCCCGCCCCGACAGGUUCUGACCCGGCCUCCCCCCGUGCCCGGCUCACCCGGUUCUGAGCCCUGAGACCUGUUCCCGCCCCGACAGGUUCUGACCCGGCCUCCCCCCGUGCCCGGCUCACCCGGUUCUGAGCCCUGAGACCCUCCCCCGCCCCGACAGGUUCUGACCCGGCCUCCCCCCGUGCCCGGCUCACCCGGUUCUGAGCCCUGAGACCUGUUCCCGCCCCGACAGGUUCUGACCCGGCCUCCCCCCGUGCCCGGCUCACCCGGUUCUGAG